ensembl:snRNA U6 U6 spliceosomal RNA
UCGCUCCAGUAGCACAUAUUUUAAAAUUGGAAUGAUACAGAGAAAGAUUAACACAACCCCUUUGCAAGGAUGACAUGCAAAUUCCUGAGACAUUUCCAUUUCCA